UAGAAAGAGAAAGAACAGAAGUCCCACAUACCUGUUUCAUAGCGGUCUCUCCUAUCUUGUCGCUGUGUUUCCGAAUAGACUCCAGGAAGUCUUUGAGUUGAGACAUGGCCGUGUCUCUGAUGAGGGUCCUCAGUCUGGGGAUAUUGUCAGACAUGAUGGAACAGAACCUGUACUGGCCCGCUCUGGGGAGACACGUCUGUUCCAGCUGCUCCAAGGUCCGCAACACUAGGGAGUACUUUAAGGAACAGAAGGGUCAAUACACACACCAACUGAAACUACUCCAACAGCCUAAAAACCUAAAGAGGGACGUCCCGACAGUGAAGAAAACGGAUUCAAAAACACCAUCCCCGCCGUGACGUCGCUUGGGCCCCGCCGUGACGUCGCUUGGGCCCCGCCGCGACGUCGCUGGGGCCCCGCCGCGACGUCGCUGGGGCCCCGCCGCGACGUCGCUGGGGCCCCGCCGCGACGUCGCUGGGAAGCACGCCGCGACGUCGCUGGGAAGCACGCCGCGACGUCGCUGGGAAGCACGCCGCGACGUCGCUGGGAAGCACGCCGCGACGUCGCUGGGAAGCACGCCGCGACGUCGCUGGGAAGCACGCCGUGACGUCGCUUGGGCCCCGCCGUGACGUCGCUUGGGCCCCGCCUAUGAAGUAGCUUGGGCCCCGCCUAUGAAGUAGCUUGGGCCCCGCCUAUGAAGUAGCUUGGGCCCCGCCUAUGAAGUAGCUUGGGCCCCCGCCUAUGAAGUAGCUUGGGCCCCGUCUAUGAAGUAGCUUGGGCCCCGCCGUGAAGUAGCUGGGAAGCACGCCGUGACGUCGCUGGGAAGCACGCCGUGACGUCGCUGGGAAGCACGCCGUGACGUCGCUGGGAAGCACCGCCGUGACGUCGCUGGAAGCACGCCGUGACGUCGCUGGGAAGCACGCCGUGACGUCGCUGGGAAGCACGCCGUGACGUCGCUGGGAAGCACGCCGUGACGUCGCUGGGAAGCACGCCGUGACGUCGCUGGGAAGCACGCCGUGACGUCGCUGGGAAGCACGCCGUGACGUCGCUGGGAAGCACGCCGUGACGUCGCUGGGAAGCACGCCGUGACGUCGCUGGGAGCCCCGCCGUGACGUCGCUGGGGCCCCGCCGUGACGUCGCUGGGGCCCCGCCGUGACGUCGCUGGGGCCCCGCCGUGACGUCGCUGGGGCCCCGCCGUGACGUCGCUGGGGCCCCGCCGUGACGUCGCUG
rnacentral:lncRNA from 1 species